rnacentral:rRNA from 1 species
AUUGAACGCUGGCGGCAUGCCUUACACAUGCAAGUCGAACGGUAACAGGCCGCAAGGUGCUGACGAGUGGCGAACGGGUGAGUAAUGCAUCGGAACGUGCCCAGUUGUGGGGGAUAACUGCUCGAAAGAGCAGCUAAUACCGCAUACGACCUGAGGGUGAAAGCGGGGGAUCGCAAGACCUCGCGCAAUUGGAGCGGCCGAUGUCAGAUUAGGUAGUUGGUGGGGUAAAGGCCUACCAAGCCGACGAUCUGUAGUUGGUCUGAGAGGACGACCAGCCACACUGGGACUGAGACACGGCCCAGACUCCUACGGGAGGCAGCAGUGGGGAAUUUUGGACAAUGGGCGCAAGCCUGAUCCAGCAAUGCCGCGUGCAGGAAGAAGGCCUUCGGGUUGUAAACUGCUUUUGUCAGGGAAGAAAUCCUCUGGGUUAAUACCCCGGGGGGAUGACGGUACCUGAAGAAUAAGCACCGGCUAACUACGUGCCAGCCGCCGCGUAACAC